GGUUUGAUUCCUGGCUCAGAUUGAACGCUGGCGGGAUGCUUACACAUGCAAGUCGAACGGCAGCAAUGGGAUUUCGGUCUGGUGUAGGCGAGGUGGCGAACGGGUGAGUAAUGUAUCGGAACGUGCCUAGUAGCGGGGACAACUACGAAAGCUGUAGCUAAUACCGCAGCGCACACCUUCGGGAAAGCGGGGACCUUCGGGCCUCGCACUCAGAGCGGCCGAUAUCGGAUUAGCUACAGGGCAACGGCUCACCGGCUAUGACGAUCCGUAGCUGGUUUGAGGAUGACCAAUACACUGGGACUGAGACACGGCCCAGACUCCUACGGAGGCAGCAGUGGGGAAUUUUGGACAAUGGGGGAAACCCUGAUCCAGCCAUCCCGCGUGUGUGAUGAAGGCCUUCGGGUUGUGAAGCACUUUUGGCAGGAGGGGCGAACGGUACCGGAUAAUACCCCGUGCAGCUGACGUACUCGCAGAAUAAGCACCGGCUAACUACGUGCCAGCAGCCGCGGUAAUAAUGUAGGGUGGCAAGCGUUAACGGAAUUACUGGCGUAAAGUGGCGCAGGCGGUUCGGAAAGAAAGAUGUGAAAUCCCAGAGCCAACUUCUUGGAACCGCAUUUUUUGGAAUCAAUGAGCCAGAGUGUGUCAGAGGGAGGUGGAAUUCGCGUGUAGCAGUGAAAUGCGUAGAUAUGCGGAGGAACACCGAUGGCGAAGGCAGCCUCCUGGGAUAACACUGACGCUCAUGCACGAAAGCGUGGGGAGCAAACAGGAUUAGAUACCCUCUGUAGUCCACGCCCUAAACGAUGUCAACUAGCUGUUGGGGCCUUCGGGCCUGGUAGCGUAGCUAACGCGUGAAGUGACCGGCCUGGGGAGCACGGUCGCAAGGAUUAAAACUCAAAGGAAUUGACGGGAUUCCGCACAAGCGGUGGAUGAUGUGGAUUAAUUCGAUGCAACGCGAAAAAAACCUUACCUACCCUUGACAUGUCUGGAAUCCCGAAGAGAUUUGGGAGUGCUCGCAAGAGAAAUCGGAACACAGGGGUACGUAUGUUGUCGCCAAAGCUCAUGCUCGCAGAUGUUGGUUAAGUCCCGCAACGAGCGCAACCCUUGUCAUUAGCGAGCAUGAAAGGGCACUCUAAUGAGACUGCCGGUGACAAACUGGAGGAAGGUGGGAUGACGUCAAGUCUCAAGGUCUUAUGGUAGGUCACACGUCAUACAAUGGUCGGGAUGAGAGGGUCGCCAACCGCGAGGGGGAACCAAUCCCAGAAACCCGAUCGUAGUCCGGAUCGCAGUCUGCAACUCGACUGCGUGAAGUCGGAAUCGCUAGUAAUCGCGGAUCAGCAUGUCGCGGUGAAUACGCUCCUGGGUCUUUGGUACACACCGCCCUGUCACACCAUGGGAGUGGGUUUACCAGAUAGCUAGCCUAACUGUAAGGAGGGGCGAUUAACAAUAAGAGAUUCAUGACUGGGGUGAAGUCGCAACAAGGU
rnacentral:rRNA from 1 species